rnacentral:rRNA from 1 species
GAUGAACGCUAGCGGCAGGCCUAAUACAUGCAAGUCGAGGGGCAGCGCGGUAGCAAUACUGGCGGCGACCGGCGCACGGGUGCGUAACGCGUAUGGAACUUGCCCUUUACUAAGGGAUAGCCCGGAGAAAUCCGGAUUAAUACCUUAUAGUAUGGAGAUGUGGCAUCACAUUUUUAUUAAAGAUUUAUCGGUAAAGGAUAGUCAUGCGUAUGAUUAGCUAGUUGGCGGGGUAAUGGCCCACCAAGGCUUCGAUCAUUAGGGGGUCUGAGAGGAUGAUCCCCCACACUGGUACUGAGAUACGGACCAGACUCCUACGGGAGGCAGCAGUAGGGAAUAUUGGUCAAUGGACGAGAGUCUGAACCAGCCAUGCCGCGUGCAGGAAGAAGGCCCUCUGGGUUGUAAACUGCUUUUGAUAGGGGCCAAAAUAUCCAUGCGUGGAGAAUUGAGAGUACCUAUAGAAUAAGCACCGGCUAACUCCGUG